UGGAAGAAUAAAGUUUUUCUAGUGCAAGAAAAUAUCCUAAAGCGCUUUAGAUCUAGAAUUAAAGAAGUAGGUCGUCUUUUGAGCUGACAGAGAGCGAUCGUAGCAGAGGAUGCAGCUAUGAAGAAGUAAAAAAAGUUUACAACGUUGUAUUUAUGCACUAAGAUGAAAUCUACUCGACCCUGUGG